CCAGCCAAGGUAGACGUAUCAUAUCCUUUUUCUUCUUUCUCCUCCUCCAACACUUGUUGAAAUCUUUGGAGAACAUUGAACUUUGAUUAUUUUGGAGAGGAUUUCUUUUUAAUUUUGUAUAUAAUCUUUGAGCAUCAUAAAAAUUACAACCAUUCUCUCAAGCUUGUAUUAGUACCAUUUGUACUCAAGCAUUUUGACAUCAUCCAAAUCAAUCUUUGGAUC
rnacentral:lncRNA from 1 species